UCGAGAAUUUUUCUCAAUGGGGGAAACCCUGAAGGAGCGACGCCGCGUGGAGGAUGAAGGUCUUCGGAUUGUAAACUCCUGUCAUGAGGGAGUAAGACAUCGCGUUAACUGCGUGGGUGUUUGAUAGUACCUCAAGAGGAAGAGACGGCUAACUCUGUGCCAGCAGCCGCGGUAAUACAGAGGUCUCGAGCGUUGUUCGGAUUCAUUGGGCGUAAAGGGUGCGUAGGCGGUUGGGUAAGUCAGACGUGAAAUUCCAGGGCUCAACCCUGAAACUGCGUUUGAUACUGCCUGACUAGAGUACUGGAGAGGAGACUGGAAUUCACGGUGUAGCAGUGAAAUGCGUAGAUAUCGUGAGGAAGACCAGUGGCGAAGGCGAGUCUCUGGACAGUAACUGACGCUG
rnacentral:rRNA from 1 species